UUCACUUUGAAACUGAGGUUACCUUGCUGUCUAAACUCAGAUGCCCUUUCAGGAGACUUUUUGACGGAGUACUGCUCAGAAAUUCUAGAAAAAGCGUUGAGAUCUUCUGGGCUGAAAUAUUGACAAAUAAGUGACAAAAGAGGACCUCUAUUGAUUGAACUCGAAGGCACCUGACAUCUUGGCAGCAGGGGGCCCCAAUUUACAAGAGGUCUUGAGUUCAAAUCCUGGACGAGCCCCCAGAGCUGUUCAUUUUCAGGUGAACGAAGGUCUUAUGGGUUUGGAACGACAUGAGGGACAGAGAGAAAUAGUGGCGAUGACAGGAAGUGACACGAGCUUGAUUGCACUGACCACCUGAGCAGCACAACUUGAAGUCAUGUGCACUAGGGUACGGCUCUGGGAAGCAUCAGAUUCUCCUUCAUUCUGUCAUUGAAGCCUGCUGGGGGACAGGAGGAGCAAGCAACUCUUUGUGGCCAUGAAGACAUCUCUGUUCAGUGUGAUGCUCUGUUGAGAAGCCCCCCUGCCGCUCUGAAAGCCUUUUGGAGGCUUCAGUGAAUUUUUAUUUUUUUAAAAGACUUACAUUGCGCUCUGAAGUAAGUUUCAAAAUCCUGUGUGUACCGAGUGUAGAGUUGGGGUGGGUCAGCCUGUUGAGAUUUGACGAUUUCUCCUUCACAACAACUAUAAAUGGUCUUGCAUGAAGGGUGUGUAAACAAGGUGGUAGGAAUAAACAUGUUUACAUAAAGGUACACUAUGGAAAGUUUUCAUUAGAAAUGAACAAAGUGCUAGUAUAUAAAAACAUUAUAACUUGCAAUGUUAUGUCUUUCUGACCCUCCGUAGGCAGCAGCG